rnacentral:rRNA from 1 species
UGGGGAAUAUUGCACAAUGGGCGCAAGCCUGAUGCAGCCAUGCCGCGUGUAUGAAGAAGGCCUUCGGGUUGUAAAGUACUUUCAGCGGGGAGGAAGGGAGUAUAGUUAAUACCUUUGCUCAUUGACGUUACCCGCAGAAGAAGCACCGGCUAACUCCGUGCCAGCAGCCGCGGUAAUACGGAGGGUGCAAGCGUUAAUCGGAAUUACUGGGCGUAAUGCGCACGCAGGCGGUUUGUUAAGUCAGAUGUGAAAUCCCCGGGCUCAACCUAGGAACUGCAUCUGAUACUGGCAAGCUUGAGUCUCGUAGAGGGGGGUAGAAUUCCAGGUGUAGCGGUGAAAUGCGUAGAGAUCUGGAGGAAUACCGGUGGCGAAGGCGGCCCCCUGGACGAAGACUGACGCUCAGGUGCGAAAGCGUGGGGAGCAAACAGG